GCCUGGGUUUGGAUUUUUAUGGCAGGCCCAACCCCGUGGUCCUCUCAUAGUGUCCCUCCUCAAGAACAUAAACUGUAGACCCGGACCAUUGCCGUAUCUGCUCUUCCAGCCCAUACAUCGGCUUAGGCCCUGAAGUGGGUUGUACAAUG
rnacentral:snoRNA from 1 species